rnacentral:rRNA from 1 species
CCUACGGGUGGCAGCAGUGAGGAAUAUUGGUCAAUGGGCGGGAGCCUGAACCAGCCAAGUCGCGUGAAGGAAGAAGUUACUUCGUAUUGUAAACUUCUUUUGUCGGGGAGCAAAUGCGGAUACGCGUCUCCGGCUGCGCGUACCCCAAGAAAAAGCAUCGGCUAACUCCGUGCCAGCAGCCGCGGUAAUCCGGAGGAUUCGAGGGUUAUCCGGUUUUAUGGGGUUUAAGGGGUGCGCAGGCGGGCGAUAAGGUCGGCGGUAAAAGGUCGGGGCUCAACCCCGGCCUGCCGUUGAAACUGGUCGGCUAGAGUGGGAGAGAGGUAGGUGGAAUUCGUGGUGUAGCGGUGAAAUGCAUAGAUAUCACGAAGAACUCCGAUUGCGAAGGCAGCAUACCGGAUUGAUACUGACGCUGAGGCACGAAAGCGUGGGGAGCGAACAGGAUUAGAUACCCCUGUAGUC